rnacentral:lncRNA from 7 species
GGUCUGAGCAGUCUGGAUCUCCCAACAAGCAGUCCUCCUCUUCCUCCUGGUCUCUCUUCUUGGAACUUGACCUGGAUCAUGAGAGACACAUCUCCUUUCUUCUCCCAUAGAGGACGACAUAUAUUUGAUUGCAAUUUUGAGACUCCUUGUGAGCUGGAAUAUUCCUUUUCCUCGAAAGAUCAGGAAAGCCCCAACAAAGCCUGGCUGAGAGUGAGUGCAGAGGAUAUUUCACAGCUGAACAUCCCGGGUGGACCAGAGAGAGAUCACUCUGAGAAUACACCAAAAGAGGCCAGAAAUAUGCAUAAGAUUGAAGAAGAGUUGGAUGAGUUCUUGCAGAAUACAUUCAUUAGUGUUUGUUUACGUCUUUGGACUCAAGAAGCCUUUCUCCCAGAGAUCUACAAGUGACAGAUCCUUUCAUUACUUGCCAGCACCAGGAUGUCAUUUGCCUUUGCAGACUUUUAGUCUGAUUGCUUGUAACAGGUUUUAUAUUCAGGCAAACACUAAGGAGAAGUUUCAGUGCAGCCUUUGUUCCUGUUCUUGGAUUCUGUUUUCUCAUCUCUAUCAAGAGGACAGUACUUCUCCCAAAAAGCUAUUAUAAAUUAAUUUCCAAGGUGUCACAGCCCAUUGUUUGAACGCUGAUUCAUCAGCAAACUGAGUCAUUUAAGUGGGUUCUGUGGAUGGACCGUAUUUGUGCCACAUGCAAAUAUAUUCCAGUCUUCACAUCAGAGAACAGGAAUACACAUAAUAAAUUUCUUGAUACAAAGAUACAAUUAAGUAAAAGUUUGAGGUAAAUCAAUGUCUGCUGCUGAGAAAGUAUUUCCCUUUUUUUUCUUUUUAAUUCUCAUGCAAACUGUCUGUGAAUGAAAUUUAGAAAUUAAAACAGGUCUGUUUUGGAU